GACGGAGUGGUGGCCAUUUUUUCGGGCACCACUAUAUACCCCUGGGGAGUGACGGAUUACAAUUAUUACAAUCACUCGACCAUUGAGAAGCCCCUCAAUCCAAAUCACGUCAGUUUGACAACAGUUGUCAUUUCCAUUUUUGUUUACCUCCUGUUUCUGAUUCAAAAAUCAAUGAAUCGAGACGAGUUUGUUUAAUCACGGUGGAAACCAAUGUUCUGAAGCCAAAACAAGAAACACAACAGCGGUACACUCGAGGUCGGGGAGUGAAACGUACCAGCAAUUACGCUAAAGUGGUACCCACCAAGAAAAUUCAACCUCGAGCGAUUCCCGACCCGGAUCCGCCGGUUCAAUACAUUUCGUCGGUAAUUGUGGAUGGUCAGGAUGUUUACUAUACAUACUCAAAAAGUAGGCGACGAUAGUUCGGAAGCAAUUGGAUUAACGGAGGAGGAGGAGGAUGCCUGCGAUUGUGUCGUUAGACUUUGAUGGGACCUACACGGACGACGCGCCGGAGGGGUAAGAGUAGCUGCUGAAGGAUGAGCAAGAGUACUAUAAUGUUGAACCGCUGGAGUCAGAUGUUUGUUUAAUCUGCUUGAGUUGUCGGACCUCAAGGACCACAUUGUGGACGCACGACGGAUUGAAGAGCAGAUCAAAGAUAUGGCAUGUGAAUAUUGUAACAGAAUAUUUUCGGAUAUUAAGACCCUGGGCCUGGACCGACACAUCUGUAAAAUACACUUCACAGGAUCACCUCAAUGGACACACAGGGGAUCGUGUUUACCAAUGCGGUGAAUGCAAAGAUCAGCGUAUGCCUUCCGGAUGGGAUGUCUGGUGCACAAAAUCUUCGACCAUGUGAAGCUGAACGGCGUAUACGUGUGCCCCGGGCUGUCGAGCGGCACAAGUACCGGCACAGCCGAGUACUGCACCAGUAGCAGCAACAGCACCAGCACCAGCUAGAUCUAAUAAUGGGACACAGCGGAAGAAGAAAUUCCGUCAACGCCGCUUCUCCAAAACCGAAACGUGGAUCAGUCGCUUUCGUCUGUACCACGAAACAGGAAGAAAUUUUAAUAUUAAUUUACGGUCAACAGGUCAACAGCUUCGUCUUGAUGGACGAUUGCAUAGUUGAUGUAAUUUCCUUGGAAAAAACUUAUUCAUCUCGGACAGUCAAAUGCCUAAGCAAGCUGAUUUGUUUAUGCUGGAUCUCUGACACUGAGCUGGCGGGUGGAUUGGACGACGGACAUCUGAUGAUGUUCAACGUGGACGACGGUGACGAAGAGACUAUGAAUCACGAGUUAAAGCAAAAUUUGCACAAUAAACAUCCGGUGCCUGCCGACUUGCAUGUUGAUUACGGAGGCGGAUGAAUUGGGUUUGCACAAGUACCCUCAGCAGUCAGAGCACAAUUGUUAUUAAUAAAGGUGGAGUUUGGAAGCAUUUGAUCGGUAUGGUCACAGUGGAAACGGAAGACCCCAUUCGAGAAGCAAGCAAACAACCGCGUCCUGAAAAAUAAAAGAAAAACGAGCGAUACGUUCUGGUGAACAAAACCGAUAACAAUAUGAGCACUCCCUUGCCAAAUAAACAGAAGGAUGAUUCACAAUUAAAGCCAGAGGGAAUCAAAACGCCAUUAACUCAGAAAAUAAGAAAAUGGUCAAGGAAGGAAUUGUGGCCGUACGUGAAAACAGCUGGACAGGCGGUCUCCAGGCGCGCACGUUCCUUAUCCACAUGAGUUGCGCGUGGCCCAUUUCCUCCGGAACUUGAACUUUCUUGUGCCUCAACACGGAACCAAAACCAAAGUCACUACCGAAAAGUUGUUGCACUCAGGAUGUUGCACUCACUCAUAACCUGCCAAUCCAGCUAGUUGACGUAGAUGUGGAUCAGUAAUCCCAGUUGAGUAACCGCGAAUCGAAUCCGAAAUCUGCUGCGUGAUCUGGUCAAGCUUCUCAAGAUCAUCGGGUCCGAUCCAAGAUACUACCAACAAGGACGACUAUCACCGUAAUUCAAGCCCAAUCAGGAAUCGCAGCACUCGAGACCCCGGUUGGAGAUCAAGAGAUGCGAUUAAUGCUAUGGAGCAGCUACAUUAACGUCCGCUGGCAAUGCUGUCUUUAGGGCAAACGCCAGCGUUGAAGCCUCGUCAUCACCAGCAAUUAUUGACCUGGAAUAUAGGAUAUCGUCAGUAGAAGAUUAUUACCCAGAAUAAUAUUUAAUUCUCGAUUUAAUUAAUAAUAAACAUGACAGUUUAGUAUAGCGUA